rnacentral:rRNA from 1 species
UGACACCGUAACUUCGGGAUAAGGUGUGCCACUGAGGGUGAAGAGCCUUGCGCUCGUAAGCCUUCGGGGGUUGCAACAAAGAGGCGGUAGCGACUGUUUACCAAAAACACAGGCCUGUGCGAAGCCGUAAGGCGACGUAUACGGGUUGACGCCUGCCCGGUGCCGGAAGGUUAAGGGGAGUGGUCAGCGAAAGCGAAGCUGCGAACCGAAGCCCCGGUAAACGGCGGCCGUAACGAUAACGGUCCUAAGGUAGCGAAAUUCCUUGUCGGGUAAGUUCCGACCUGUACGAAUGGCGUAACGACUUCCGCGCUGUCUCGAUCACGGUCUCAGCGAAAUUGACAUUGGGGUGAAGAUGCCCCAUACCCGCAGCAAGACGGAAAGACCCUGUGAACCUUUACUCUAACUUGGCAGCGACAUUCGGUUCAGCUUGUGUAGGAUAGGUGGGAGACGAUGAAGCGGGGGCGCCAGCCUUCGUGGAGUCAACGUUGAAAUACCACCCUGGUUGUGCUGGAUGUCUAACCCGGCCCUUGUGGCGGGGAUACUGCCUGGCGGGGAGUUUGACUGGGGCGGUCGCCUCCCAAACAGUAACGGAGGCGCGCAAAGAUUCCCUCAGCGUGAUCGGAAACCACGCGCAGAGUGCAAAGGCAGAAGGGAGUUUGACUGCAAGAUCGACAGAUCGAGCAGGUGCGAAAGCAGGCCUUAGUGAUCCGGCGGUCCCACAUGGGAGGGCCGUCGCUCAUCGGAUAAAAGGUACUCCGGGGAUAACAGGCUUAUCACGCCCAAGAGUUCACAUCGACGGCGUGGUUUGGCACCUCGAUGUCGGCUCAUCGCAUCCUGGGGCUGGAGCAGGUCCCAAGGGUUUGGCUGUUCGCCAAUUAAAGCGGUACGCGAGCUGGGUUCAAAACGUCGUGAGACAGUUUGGUCCCUAUCUGCUGUGGGCGCAGGAGAGUUGAGAGACGCUGUCCUUAGUACGAGAGGACCGGGAUGGACGUUCCUCUGGUGUUCCGGUUGUCGCGCCAGCGGCAUAGCCGGAUAACCAUGAACGGAAGGGAUAACCGCUGAAAGCAUCUAAGUGGUAAGCCCAUCUCCAGAUAAACUCUCCCUUGAGGGCCCAGAAAGACCAUCUGGUUGAUAGGCGGGGCGUAUAAACGCAGCAAUGCGUGCGCGGACCCGUACUAAUCGCCCGAACGACUUGACCCU